ensembl:lncRNA
GAAUUGAAAAAGCUUCUUCGUUAUGCCUUGCCUCUGCACUUGCCCUUUGGGCACCAGCAAGAUCUAAAGGAUGUUUGUCAGAACUGUAAACAAUCUAACGACUAACAAAAACUGGAUAAGUCUGAUUCAUGCAUGCAUUCAAUUAAUGUUACCUUCUCAGAAAUGCCUUCUCUGACCUCUAUCUAAAUUUACCUCCCCCUAUUUCCUACCACAUCGUCCUGUAGCACUUAUAGAUGUCUGAAAUUUACUUUUUGUUUCCUCCAGUGGAAUGUAAGCCCCAUGAGUUCAGGAACCAGGACAGCCUUAGUUCAUUGCUGUAUAUUCAGUGCCUGGCACAUACUAGAUGCUCAAUAAAUAUUUAUUGCAUGAAAGAAUUAUUACUGGAGUGCCCACCAGGCUACAGGCUAUUAGAGGUGUCGAUGAAAAUAAUCCAUAACCAAUCUAUAAAUGAAAAUUUGGGAGAGUUUAUUCUGAGCUAAAAUCUGAGGACCAUGGCCUGGGGCCUUUCUUCUUGAAGGAAGAAAGGGCACCAAAGAAGUGAGGUGUACAGAGUGGUUAUAUACCCCCAAACAGGCUGUUUCACAUAUGAUUGAAAUGUCCCUCCCUCAGUAGUCACAAGAUUGCCCUGUUGGCACAACACUUGAUGGACACAGCAGGUAGUGGGUCUGCUAUCUCAGAGGGCGCAGCAGGAAGCAAGUCUGUUGUCUUGAGCUGGGUGGUCACAGUUCGGCGACUUGGAUGGGAUAACAUUUCACUGACUGGACUCUGCUCGCUCCUGGCCUACUUCAGCUGAGAGAUCCUGGACCCCUGACAAGAGCCGGCAGGAGAGAGAUUCACAGAAGGGACUCUGACAUUUACUCUGGAAUGCAGCUUUCUGAUAAAGUUUCAGAUCAUAAAACGGAAUUGGAGACCGAGCGAGAGGAGACCUCGCUGGCCUCGGCUGGAGAGGGACGCUGUUCCAGGCACAUUACUGCGUGUAUGAUCAGCAGCCGUGAACGUGUCCAGGGGCCGGCCGGGGGCUGAGUGGUUGGGUUUGCGCCCUCCACUUAGGCGGCCCGGGGUUUCACCGGUUCGGAUCCUGGGCGCGGACAUGACACCGCUCAUCAGGCCACACUGAGGCAGCGUCCCACAUGCCACAACUAGAAGGACCCACAACUAAAAAUAUGCAACUAUGUACUGGGGGGCUUUGGGAGAAAAAGGAAAAAUAAAAUCUUUAAAAAAAACAACAAAAAACCCCACCUUUCUGAACCCAAUCUCACAAUUUCAGCCUGUUUCUCACAGACCUCACAACUCAGCUGCACGGAGUCAAGGUGGGACCCACUUAAAGGGGAAAACAAUUUCCGAGCUGCUUUUUAGUGCUCAGGUAGCAUCGAGGUGAGGAAAAGGGGCUAAAGCUGCUGGACCUCGGCGAGCAGGAGCAGAGACGAGCCUGUCCUCCCCAGGAACGUUCCACUAAGAAACGGACAGCAAGGUCCCUGGUGGACUGCAGUUCAACUGAACUAGCCAGGCCGUACGGGAGGUCCUGCAGUCUAAAGGAUAGAGUGGGCUUUGUAGGUUCAAGGGCAUCCUGUGCAGAAGGUGCCGGGUCUCUGUGCUCUGGAAACAUCUCUGCUAGUCUAGGUAAUUAAACCGGAACUGGUCUGCGAAGAGCCUGAAAGCCAGAAGUUAGCAGUUCCAGUCCUGCAAAGCAGGCCUUCCGGGUGGCAUUCUUGCCAAUAGCUGUGAUCAGAUUUGGUGGCAACAUGGCUAAACUGGUGGUAGUUUCCGAGUGGCCAGGU